CCGUAGGUGAACCUGCGGAAGGAUCAUUAAAGAGUAAGGGUGCUCAGCGCCCGACCUCCAACCCUUUGUUGUUAAAACUACCUUGUUGCUUUGGCGGGACCGCUCGGUCUCGAGCCGCUGGGGAUUCGUCCCAGGCGAGCGCCCGCCAGAGUUAAACCAAACUCUUGUUAUUUAACCGGUCGUCUGAGUUAAAAUUUUGAAUAAAUCAAAACUUUCAACAACGGAUCUCUUGGUUCUCGCAUCGAUGAAGAACGCAGCGAAAUGCGAUAAGUAAUGUGAAUUGCAGAAUUCAGUGAAUCAUCGAAUCUUUGAACGCACAUUGCGCCCCUUGGUAUUCCGAGGGGCAUGCCUGUUCGAGCGUCAUUACACCACUCAAGCUAUGCUUGGUAUUGGGCGUCGUCCUUAGUUGGGCGCGCCUUAAAGACCUCGGCGAGGCCACUCCGGCUUUAGGCGUAGUAGAAUUUAUUCGAACGUCUGUCAAAGGAGAGGAACUCUGCCGACUGAAACC
rnacentral:rRNA from 1 species